rfam:Parcubacteria (Giovannonibacteria) bacterium GW2011_GWA2_44_13b TW30_C0007, whole genome shotgun sequence.
AAUGAAACACCCAUUUUUAAGGAUGUAAAAUCUAACCUGUUGAGAUUAAACUCAAUGGGGACAGUAGCUGCUGGGCAGUUUGUGUGGGGCGCAAUCCUCCUAAAAAGUAACGGAGGAGUUCAUUAAGGUCAGCUAGGCGCGGAUGGACAUCGCGCUAGUCGUGCAAUGGCAUAAGCUGGCUUAACUGCAAGACGGGCAUGUCGCGCAGGUGCGAAAGCAGAACAUAGUGAACCGACCAUUGGCACUCGAUGCCGUGGAAGAUUAACGGAUAAAAGCUACUCCGGGGAUAACAGGCUAGUUCCGCCCAAGAGUCCAUAUCGACGGCGGAGUUCGGCACCUUAACAAAUCGGGGUGCAAUGAAAGUAAUUUCAUUCCUUGGGCAUAUUAAAGUUGCCUAAAAUAAAAAUUUGGCUUAUAACGGUGGACUCCAAAAAUUAAAUGAUAGGAAAUUUAUUUGGACAAUACCGUGGGAAGUCAUCUACUCAAAGUAUUAAAACUUGAUUCCAAAAUUUUGAGUGGAUUGACCCCGUAGAGACUUGUUCUGAAAGGAACAGAGUCGCGCAGACAUAAUGCGCGGCUAAGACGCCAACUCCUUUAUUCUUAAAAAGAUAAAGGAAGAAGAUAUAGUCCGACCCUUCCGGUAACGGAAGACAAAUACGACAGCGAUGUCGGCUCAACUUAUCCUGGGGCUGGAGAAAACAAACCUUCUCUCUCCGAUGGAAACAUCGGAGUAAUAAACAAGCUCAAUACGGCGAAGGCUUAUUCAUAGGAUCUGCGAAGUUUCUCGCAGGUCCCAGGUGUGAUACAAUUCACACGUAUGAAAGCUAACACCGUGGGAAAGAUAAGUAAUGAAGCUGAUCGAGCCUAUCUUGCCGGGUUGAUCGAUGGCGAUGGCGCAAUUAUGGCCACCAUCGAAAAACACAGCGAGAAAAAGUUUGGUUUUAGAGUUCGGGUAGAAAUAAAAAUUACCCAAAAAGAAGCAAAAGUUUUGCUUAUUUUGAGGAACAAGUUUGGGAUUGGACGGGUGGCGGCAAAUCGCACCACCUAUGAUUGGAUCAUACGUGAUCAAUCGAACGCCCGAGCCGCUCUUGGUUUUAUUUCGCCUUAUUCUUUAGCUAAACAAAAGCAAAUUAAAUUGGCUAUACAAAUUUUGAAUAGAAAUAUUCAAACUAAGGCCGAUUUAAUUCGUAUGGCAAGAUUAGCGGAUACAUUGUCGCGAUUUAACGUGCGGUCUAAAAAUCGCCGUAAAAAUUAUGCGUCAAUGAUCUAAUUAUUUACCUCCCCUAACGACUGAUUGCUGUAAUUUUAGUUACAGCAUGAGAUAUGCCCUGCUUGCGGGGGUAUCACACGGCUUGCACCUAAUUAUUCUUUGGUGACAAAGAAAAAAUGGUGAUGGAAUAGUCUGAUACUGGCGGUAACGCCAGAUAACAAAUAAAUGAGGUCCCAAGGGUUUGGCUGUUCGCCAAUUAAAAAGUUACGUGAGCUGGGUUCAAACCGUUCAGGAUCUAAAGUAAUUUGGGUUUUGAACAUGUUUGAAUCCCGAGGCAUAAAAAACGACAUAUCGCGGCGACCCUUAUUAGUGAUAAUAAGGUGUAUUAAUCGACUUAUAUCGGUGAAGUCCACUUGCGGCACGACCACGCCGCAUGAUAGGAUAAUACCGAGGGAAGAAAAGAUUAGAUUUUCCUAAUAAUUUAAAUUUAUGACAGAAAAAAUCACAAAUCAAGAACAAUCAAUUUGGAGCGCAGAAAAAGCGAAAGUUGAAGAAUUUGAGUCUAAGGCAAAAGCUUUAUUAGAACAGAUGCAAAGUUUUAAUAGCGAGGCUCAGGAAUUAUAUAACGUGCUUAAACAAACUGGCGUUGAACAUCUAGAAAAAUUCAAGUCAGAUAAAGGUGACUCCAAAAAAGAUAUUAAUGACAGUGUUGAUUUGCAAGAUCUUCGUUUCAGAGUUGCUGAUAAAGUUUCUGAAAUAGAAAAAUUUAAAUUUCAUGUUGAUCUCUAAUUAUUUUACCCGUAGAGACUGAACGCCGAUACUCUCUAAAUUUUAGAGAAUAAGUUACAGUCCAAUGCACGCAGUAAUGCGUGGAAACAUGCGUGAGACAGGUUGGUCUCCUAUCUACUGUACCCGUGGAUUUUUGAGGGGGGUUUUCCCUAGUACGAGAGGACCGGGAAGAGUUGACCUCUGGUCUACGAGCUCUGCCGCCAGGUGGAACGCUCGGUAGCUAUGUCGAUAAGUGAUAAGCGCUGAAAGCAUCUAAGCGCGAAGCAUGCCCCAAGAUUAGAAAUCGUUGAGACUCGUGGAAGACUACCACGUUGAUAGGCUCUAGGUGUAAGCAUCGUAAGGUGUUCAGCCGAGGAGUACUAAUGUUCGAAUUGCUUUUUACG